AGAUUGAACGCUGGCGGCAGGCCUAACACAUGCAAGUCGAGCGGUAGAGAGGUGCUUGCAUCUCUUGAGAGCGGCGGACGGGUGAGUAAUGCCUAGGAAUCUGCCUAGUGGUGGGGGAUAACGUUCGGAAACGGACGCUAAUACCGCAUACGUCCUACGGGAGAAAGCGGGGGACCUUCGGGCCUCGCGCCAUUAGAUGAGCCUAGGUCGGAUUAGCUAGUUGGUGAGGUAAUGGCUCACCAAGGCGACGAUCCGUAACUGGUCUGAGAGGAUGAUCAGUCACACUAGGAACUGAGAC
rnacentral:rRNA from 1 species